CCGGUGAGGAAAUUCAAGUAUUUGUCCAAUCAACUUUUUGGCGGCAUUUGUGAGGUCCAGAGGGGUAGGGAAGGGGACCAGGACUGGAAUAGUCCUUUAGAGCCUUGAGCCCCCUUGGCUGAGACCAGACUGGAGCUCUCCCAGAGCUAGGGCAAGGCAAACAAACCUGGCUUGGACCUUGUACCUUGUGCGAGGCAAGUGGAAGAGAGCAGAAAACAGGAGGUAGGUAGCAAAACAAAACCGAUCUGAAAUUCAUUCCUGGUCACACCUGGACUCCCAGGACGGGUGCAUGCCGGGCCAGGACAGUCCCCAUCCAGGUCCUGAGCUUGCACAAACAACCUGAUUGAUUCUGCAACCCCCUUAGGGACUCUCAGGCCAAGUUUCUGAAGCAUGGAGACCUGAAGUGAUUCAGCUAUGGUCAACGUGGCUAAUACUUGGCAAGAUGUAAACCCAAGAGCCCCUGUUCGUAUCCUUACCCCGGAGAUUUAUACUCCUUAUCCUUACCCCCCUAGACUGGUCCCCUUGAUCUUUCCACUGGAGUGUUUGUGCCCUCAGAGUCUCUGGGAUAAGCCAAAGUAUUUUUGAGAUUCAACUUCCAGAAAGGUCAACAGUAAGCAAACAUUUCAGAAAAAAAUUAAACUUUAAGUCAUUUAAGACAUUUUUAUGCAGCCGUAUGUGACCGUGAAUAAUGCAAAAAACCAGGUGAAUUUUUUAGAUGAAAAAGGAGGCU